rnacentral:lncRNA from 1 species
GAAAUGAGGAGUUAGCUACUCAGAAUAGUCAAUUAGCCAUCCAAAACAGUGAAUUAGCUAUCCAAAAUAGUGAUUUAUCUACUCGUAUUUUUUGUACGGAGGAGUUCAUGCACCUUAUAAUGAAGAAGAUGUAGGUCAAUCCAUCUAUCUUAGUGCAACCUUUGUCUACAGUUCCAAUGCCGUCUCCAACUGCUACCUUUCCAAAUGGUGAUGAUUAUGAUGAUGAUGA